GCUGGGCAUGGUGGCGCAUGCCUAUAGUCGCAGUGGCUCCGGAGGCUGAGGCAGGAGAAUCGUGAGUUCGAAGCCAGCCUCAGCAACUUAGUGAGGCCCUAAGCAACUCAGACCCUGUCUCUA
rnacentral:sRNA from 1 species